AUGGUACUCCCUCCGUUUCAAAAUAAGUGACUCAAAAAUGACUCAACUUUGUAUUAAAGUAUAAAGUUGAGUCAUUUUUGAGUCACUUAUUUUGGGACGGAGGGAGUACUAU
rnacentral:pre_miRNA from 1 species